GGCUACGUAGCUCAGUUGGUCAGAGCACAGCAUUCAUAACGCUGAGGUCAUGGGUUCAAUUCCCAUCGUAGCUA
rnacentral:tRNA from 1 species